GGUCUUUCGGACUGGGAGCGUACACAGGUGCUGCAUGGCUGUCGUCAGCUCGUGUCGUGAGAUGUUGGUUAAGUCCCGCAACGAGCGCAACCCCUGCAUUCAGUUGCCAUCGGUAAGGCCGGGCACUCUGGAUGGACUGCCGGCGACAAGCCGGAGGAAGGUGGGGACGACGUCAAGUCAUCAUGGCCCUUAUGUCCAGGGCGACACACGUGCUACAAUGGCCGGCACAACGGGAAGCGACGGCGCGAGUCGUAGCGGAUCCCUCAAAGCCGGUCCCAGUUCGGAUUGCAGUCUGCAACUCGACUGCAUGAAGCCGGAAUCGCUAGUAAUCGUGAAUCAGAAUGUCACGGUGAAUACGUUCCCGGGCCUU
rnacentral:rRNA from 1 species